GACGAACGCUGGCGGCGUGCUUAACACAUGCAAGUCGAACGAUGAAGCUAGAGCUUGCUCUGGUGGAUUAGUGGCGAACGGGUGAGUAACACGUGAGUAACCUGCCCCGAACUCUGGGAUAACUGCUGGAAACGGUAGCUAAUACCGGAUAUGACCAAUGAAGGCAUCUUCUGUUGGUGGAAAGAAUUUCGGUUCGGGAUGGACUCGCGGCCUAUCAGCUUGUUGGUGAGGUAACGGCUCACCAAGGCGACGACGGGUAGCCGGCCUGAGAGGGUGCUCGGCUACACUGGGACUGAGACACGGCCCAGACUCCUACGGGAGGCAGCAGUGGGGAAUAUUGCACAAUGGGCGCAAGCCUGAUGCAGCAACGCCGCGUGAGGGACGACGGCCUUCGGGUUGUAAACCUCUUUUAGUAGGGAAGAAGCGAAAGUGACGGUACCUGCAGAAAAAGCACCGGCUAACUACGUGCCAGCCGCCGCGGUAA
rnacentral:rRNA from 1 species